AUAUCUUCGUAGCCUUUAUCUACAAAGGAAUUUAAACAAAAAGAGUAGAGAGAAGAAGGAUAAUGUUGCACCGAUUUGAUCAACUCACGUAAAUGGUAUGGGCUUGGGCCCAAAAAAGUCCUAUGGGCUUCUAGUACCCAACAACUUUUUGGGCUGACAGAGAUAUCUUAACAUCUUCGAUCCUGUUGCCGUGGUUGCUACAGAUUUGAGAACAUACUUUGACGAUGUUCAGACGAAGCAGGUUUCUUUCCUUCCCUAUGGUAAUUGGGGCAGUCAUCAUUGGUGUUGUUUCUGGGAAGGCAAUAUUUGGACCCCCUCUUGAUGAGUAUUGGAAAAAGAAGCAUCGGGAAGAGUCAACUCCUGCUGCUAAGGAGGAUGACUCAACCCCAACUUAGUUCACCAGGAUCACAUUUUUUCUCUUUAUGUUUCGACUGAAGACCAGGAUUGAAAGACCACAUUUGAAUUUGCAUUGCAAUCUUUUACAGUUCCUCUUUCUAUUGAGGGAGUUUUGGUUCUCUUACUACUUUGUAGAAAAUUUACUGUCUAACUCAUUUGUCAGGUACCAUUUACAAGCAUAGUUAUGUCCUUAGACUAAAAUAUAACCCAGACCUAAGCAAUGUGUACACAUGCUCAAUAGAAAUGAUGGAAAAUCAAUAAUAUACGAAUGUUGUGUUUAUA